rnacentral:rRNA from 1 species
UACGAAGGGGGCGAGCGUUGUUCGGAAUUACUGGGCGUAAAGGGCGCGUAGGCGGCCGAUCAAGUCAGAUGUGAAAGUCCUGGGCUUAACCUGGGGACUGCAUUUGAUACUGAUUGGCUUGAAUGCAGGAGAGGAUAGCGGAAUUCCCAGUGUAGAGGUGAAAUUCGUAGAUAUUGGGAAGAACACCGGUGGUGAAGGCGGCUAUCUGGACUGUGAUUGACGCUGAGGCGCGAAAGCGUGGGGAGCAAACAGG